CUGACUUCAGGAAGUCAUGCAAUAUAACUGUGAGACUUACACAACAAGCUCACGUCUUUACUGCUGACAAUCCUGACAGACCAGUCGCUGUGAAAAGUACCAAAUCGGCAGAAUGGAGCAAGACACACCUGCAUUUGAUGUUCGACCUACAAUGUUUGACUUCCAUGGUGUCUGUAUGACAAAUUUUGUCACUGACAACUGGGAGAAAGUCCAGAACUUCAAAGCGAGACCAGAUGAUAUUCUUAUAAACUUUACAAGACAACUCAGACUCAGAGAUCAUUUUGGGCAUCAUUUUCUCAUCAUUUAGUGAAUGCAUUGGAAUAGAAUACGUAUAACGUAUAACCAGUGAACUGCAUGUAGUCAUGUUUCAUUCUCAGGAACCACAUGGGUCUCUUACGUCCUUGACCUUCUAUUUUUUGGAAAGAUAUCUCCUGAGCGUCAGACAUCCAUCCCUAUACAUGAGAGAGUGCCAUUCCUGGACCUCUUCAUACCUUCUCUACGUUCAGG